rnacentral:lncRNA from 1 species
CUUCAGAGUUGUGUGGGGAGAAGGAAUGAACUGCGGAAAGCCUCUAGCAGACGGCCCACUGAACCGUGAGCGCGGUCCUGCUGACUGAGGGGCUCUGCGCAGCCUCACGGCCUCGCUGCGCUCUCAAGGCCGCUCGUGGUUGUGUGGAGAUCACAGCAAUGGGGGCGAGAGUGGACGCCGGAGUGCAGGUGGGGCUGGUGCAGACCUCCAGGUGCGGGUAACGGGGACUGGCCCGGGGUGGUGACGGGGGAGAUGCAGGGAAUGGGCAGACAGGAGAGAUACUUGGGGCAAGAACAAACAGGACUUGCUGAUGGAGUCGGUAUGGGGUGGGGGUGCAAUAAGGGACAUUGACCCUCAGGUGUGUGGGCUUGGAAACUAGGAGCGUGACGAGAUUGUGCAUCUGAGAAGUUUCUCUGACUUGCCCAAGGUCACACAAGGUGUAGGUGGCAGAGCUGGGGUUGUUCUGACAACGAGGUGCGGUUCUUUCCUCUGCACAAGCCGGCUUCCUGGGAUCGUGGCUCUUCUGGGGAGAGGGACCUUGGAGAGCGCCUGCCUUCGGGCAGGAGAAUCUCCACUGGACGAGAGAGAAUCUGGAGGUCAGGUGGUUUUCUGGAACGCACAUAGCCAGGGAGGGGGAAGCAGGCAGGGGCUGCAUCUGGCUGCCUGGGGUGGGCAGGCACUCUCUGUUCCAUGCCACACAGAGAGUCCCCAAGGCCUUUCUGAAAAGCUCUUCCCAGCCCUUCCGUGAUAAACAACCUGCUGUCCCCGGCUCCGGGCGGGAAGAAUCUAAGGGGAGACGCUCCUCCGUUAGUCACGCAAGCUUGCCUGGGUGGUUAGCACAAUGAAGCCGUCAAGCCACUAGGCAGGAAGGGCGGGAGCUGGCGUUUCAAGCACCGCUGCCCACCCGAGGGAUGUGCAGGGUAGCAACAGCCCACGCCGGCGGUGGGGAGCAGCCUGGUCACCCACAGGAGCUUGUGAGGCCCGAGGAGUGUCCGUGUGGCAAGGCCCCUGCCCCAGCUUUUCAUUUAUGAAACAGAGCGUGACCUCCAGAACUCACUGGGGUUCUGUAUGACGGAGCUCCCCGCGUUGGGCAAGCAGGGUGACCCCGUCCUCCAUCAUGGCUCUCUCACUGUGACGCCGACCCUCGGUCCCCACGCUCGGCUUGCAGUAGAACGUUUCCUCUCUCCAGGUUGUCAUGACAAUUUUCACUGAGAAGCUGUUUCUGUAGAGGGAGCAAAAAAAGAAACAGGGGGAAAUGCUUAUUAAAGCCAGGCCUAGUGAGUCUGAGGAUUUCAGUGGUGUCUUUACAUUCUCAGUGGCUUCUGAAGAAAAAGUGGAAUUUCUGUCCUCUACACCAGCUGGCUGCUAGGAACUUUGCUGUUAUAUAGAGGCAAUGCAUGAAGUCCAGAAUCCAUUACAUUAUACUAAUUAUAGUAAUAAUGAUAAUAACAAUUAAAUGUGAGCCUUCAAAGGCAGGUCCCCUCCGGCAGAAUCCAUUAAGGAGAAUGGGUGUAAUUAUUCGGGCAGUGGAGGCACAGUGCAAUUUUAGGGGUGGUCAGUGUUAUCCUGAUAACAAUCCCAUUCUCUCCUCCUUCGUCACUGGCCAUCUGGCCUUCCAGUGUCUUCUCCCCAGAUCUCAACCAUCUGUCCAUCAAUGUCUCACUAAUUAUUGCAAACAAUUCUGUGUAAAAUGAGAAGAAAGUAAAGGUUAACUUUCCCAUUUUACAGAUUAGUCAUUGUCUUCCUGAACAAACAGUGAGGAAACCCAGGGGAGGUGACCCCUCAGUGAAUGUAUCCUACAGAAGAGCCGGAUCUGGAACUCUGCUUGAGCAAGCCAGUGUAAAAAUUACAACAGCUUACUGAGCCCUGUGCAGAAGCUGAUAUUGAGAGCAUGGAGGCUUCCUGCUAAAGGCCAGCAUCAGCUUGUCAGCCACACAGGUGAGGCUGGGAGAGGAUCCUCAGUCCUGAUCAAGACUUCAGAUGAGAUCACAGCCCUGGCUGACAUCUGACUGCAACUUCAUGAGAGACCCUGAGCCACAGCCCCCAGCCCAGCCACUCCUGAAUUUCUGGUCCACAGAAACUGUAAGAGAUGUAAAUAAAUUAUUAUUGCUGCUUUUAAGCCACUAAA